rnacentral:rRNA from 1 species
AUUGAACGCUGGCGGAAUGCUUUACACAUGCAAGUCGAACGGGUGUAGCAAUACAUCAGUGGCGCACGGGAUAGUAACGCGUGGGAAUCUGCCUCGUAGUUCGGAAUAACACCGGGAAACUGGUGCUAAUACCGGAUACGACCUUCGGGGGAAAGUUUUUCGCUAUGAGAGGAGCCCGCGUUGGAUUAGCUAGUUGGUGAGGUAACGGCUCACCAAGGCGACGAUCCAUAGCUGGUCUGAGAGGACGAUCAGCAUCACUGGGACUGAGAAACGGCCCAGACUCCUACGGGAGGCAGCAGUGGGGAAUAUUGGACAAUGGGGGAAACCCUGAUCCAGCAAUGCCGCGUGAGUGAUGAAGGUCUUCGGAUUGUAAAGCUCUUUUGGCAGGGACGAUGAUGACGGUACCUGCAGAAUAAGCUCCGGCUAACUUCGUGCCAGCAGCCGCCGUAA